GAAAAGAAACCAACAGGGAUUGCCCUAGUAACGGCGAGUGAAGCGGCAACAGCUCAAAUUUGAAAUCUGGCGCAAGCCCGAGUUGUAAUUUGUAGAGGAUGCUUCUGGGCAGCGGCCGGUCUAAGUUCCUUGGAACAGGACGUCACAGAGGGUGAGAAUCCCGUAUGUGAUCGGUUGGCACCCGCUACGUAGCUCCUUCGACGAGUCGAGUUGUUUGGGAAUGCAGCUCUAAAUGGGAGGUAAAUGCCUUCUAAAGCUAAAUACCGGCCAGAGACCGAUAGCGCACAAGUAGAGUGAUCGAAAGAUGAAAAGCACUUUGGAAAGAGAGUUAAAAAGCACGUGAAAUUGUUGAAAGGGAAGCGCAUGCAACCAGACUUGUCCGCGGUGUUCCGCCGGUCUUCUGACCGGUCUACUCGCCGCGGGCAGGCCAGCAUCAUCUGGGAGCGCCGGAUAAAGGUAGCGGGAAUGUGGCCCCUCGGGGUGUUAUAGCUCGCUACACAAUACGGCGCCUCCCGGGUGAGGUCCGCGCUUCGGCUAGGAUGCUGGCGUAAUGGUUGUAUGCGGCCCGUCUUGAAACACGGACCAAGGAGUCUACCAUCUAUGCGAGUGUUCGGGUGUCAAACCCCUACGCGCAAUGAAAGUGAACGGAGGUGGGAACCGCAAGGUGCACCAUCGACCGAUCCUGAUGUCUUCGGAUGGAUUUGAGUAAGAGCAUAGCUGGUGGGACCCGAAAGAUGGUGAACUAUGCCUGAAUAGGGUGAAGCCAGAGGAAACUCUGGUGGAGGCUCGCAGCGGUUCUGACGUGCAAAUCGAUCGUCAAAUUUGGGUAUAGGGGCGAAAGACUAAUCGAACCAU
rnacentral:rRNA from 1 species